GACGAACGCUGGCGGCGUGCCUAAUACAUGCAAGUAGAACGCUGAAGAGAGGAGCUUACUCUUCUUGGAUGAGUUGCGAACGGGUGAGUAACGCGUAGGUAACCUGCCUUGUAGCGGGGGAUAACUAUUGGAAACGAUAGCUAAUACCGCAUAACAAUGGAUGACACAUGUCAUUUAUUUUAAAGGGGCAAUUGCUCCACUACAAGAUGGACCUGCGUUGUAUUAGCUAGUAGGUGAGGUAAUGGCUCACCUAGGCGACGAUACAUAGCCGACCUGAGAGGGUGAUCGGCCCCACUGGGACUGAGACACGGCACAGACUCCUACGGGGGGGAGCAGGAGGGAAACGUCGGCAAUGGGGGCAACCCUGACCGAACAACGCCGCGUGAGUGAAGAAGGUUUUCGGAUCGUAAAGCUCUGUUGUAAGUCAAGAACGGGUGUGAGAGUGGAAAGUUCACACUGUGACGGUAGCUUACCAGAAAGGGACGGCUAACUACGUG
rnacentral:rRNA from 1 species